UAGCAAUACAGAUGGCGCACGGCGCACGGGUGAGUAACACGUGGGCAACCUGCCCUUGGAUGGGGAAUAACCCCGCGAAAGCGGGGCUAAUACCGCAUAACACUCCUGGAACCGUGGUUUCGGGAUUCAAAGUCGUAAGACGUCCGAGGAGGGGCCCGCGCCCGAUUAGCUAGUUGGCGAGGUAAUGGCUCACCAAGGCAAUGAUCGGUAGCCGGUCUGAGAGGAUGGCCGGCCACACUGGAACUGAGACACGGUCCAGACUCCUACGGGAGGCAGCAGUGGGGAAUCUUGCGCAAUGGGCGAAGGCCUGACGCAGCGACGCCGCGUGGGGGAUGAAGCUUUUCGGAGUGUAAACCCCUUUCGACCGGGACGAAACGCCCGCAAGGGAAUUGACGGUACCGGUAGAAGAAGCCCCGGCUAACUACGUGCCAGCAGCCGCGGUAAGACGUAGGGGGCCAGCGUUGCUCGGAAUAACUGGGCGUAAAGGGUCCGUAGGCGGUGUGGCAAGUCGGGAGUGAAAUCUCUGGGCUUAACCCAGGGGCUGCUUCCGAAACUGCCGUGCUAGAGUGCGAGAGAGGUGAGUGGAAUUGCAGGUGUAGCGGUGAAAUGCGUAGAUAUCUGCAGGAACACCCGUGGCGAAGGCGGCUCACUGGAUCGCAACUGACGCUGAGAGACGAAAGCUAGGGGAGCAAACAGGAUUAGAUACCCUGGUAGUCCUAGCCCUAAACGAUCAGAACUUGGGGUGCAUCCCGUUGGGGGUGCGUCCCGUAGCUAACGCGUUAAGUUCUGCGCCUGGGGAGUACGGUCGCAAGACUGAAACUCAAAGGAAUUGAC
rnacentral:rRNA from 1 species